rnacentral:lncRNA from 1 species
UGUGAUACAAGAUGAUAUUUUUCAGAGAGUUAACCUAUUCCUAUUUAUAGAAAAGAAUUCCUAACUAAAUCCUAACUUAAAGAUAUGUAUAUAUUAAAACUAAGAAAGAAUGAAGAAACUGGCACAACAAAUUAUUCCCUCUGGUGUGUUGUUUUGGACUGGUGCGAUGAGAUCCCUACAUUAGAUGUUGACUGGUGCACCAUGGUGCUAGCAUAUUUGACCCAUGCACCUUGGUCAGGGUGCGGAAAAAACUCUGGGUCAUAAUUGUAUGUGUCUCAGUCAAGCUGAGGCUUCCUGUCUUGGUCAGGAUUGUUGUUUGGCUUAACCUUGCUAUCUCGAUUAGGGAGUGUGUUUGGCUUAGCGUUGUCUCGGUCAGGAUUGAGUGGAACAUACGCAGAGUGAUCUGGAUUGGUAUCUCGAUCAAGAUUUGUUGUUUUCCCUUGACUGGUGGCUUGAACUUGGCAUAUAUGAAGAGCAUUAUUGGCUAAUAUGCCUUCCAUGAAGCCAUUCAUCUUUGAAUUUUCUCCAUGACCGGAUUAAUAACUACUCUUAUAAUCGUUCCUUGAAAAAAUGGGAUACCUAAAUAUUUAUCUAGGUUCCGACAACACACAUUGAACAAAUAUUCAUGAAAUUGUUAUUCUUCCUGUUAGAUACAUUUUUUGAACACAUAAAUUUUGACUUUUUGACAAUAACCUUGGCAAAAAACA